UAAUUUUUUUCUUUCUUUUUGCCAACUGAUCCAACCUUUUCCUGAAAUUCCAUCUCAUUCAAAUCCCUGGAAAAGCUUUGAAUAGAAAUUACUUUUGCUAUACAUCUCUCUUGCGUAGCCAGAUCUUUAGUCAUUGGAUUUUUUUUUUUUAAAUUUCCUUGAACGCUUUUGAUUGUGUGGGUGUUGCUGUACACGCCAGUAUGCUUUGUGUCAGUUCUUUUCACUGCUUUGCCAUUUAUGCUUCAUACCAAUUCCUUUCAUUGUAGUGCAGUGGAAAAUAUUUUCCUGCAGAUCUUAAACUCGUCAAGCAAUUUUUAUUUUUUUUUUUUAAUUUAAAACACACUAAAUGAAAAUACUAUAAUCCUCGCUUGGUCGUACUGCGACAGCAGGAAGGUCUUCUCCUGUGACCUUUGUGCUGUUACACUCACAGGCAAUCAGUUUUGCUGGGAGAUAGGUUUGCUAAGUCUCCAGUCAAGCCCAAGUUAGAAGGCCAACGUAUAUAUGCUGCAUUUCAUCAUUAUUAUGCAUAUCACCACCAAGGCAGACUGUCAUAGUUUUCAAACAAUAAUGCUUGCAAGUCAAAAUUGUCAAAGCUGCUUAAGGGAUUCAGAUACCCCAUUGCCAUGAAGCUAAGUGGGAUUGUUUUGAGAUUCUCAGUGAUAGUGUUUACCCUAGGGAGUGCAUGAGAAAAACCUUAUGCGUGUAGUAUACGCUUUCCAAUGCAGAUGCCUUGGUGGAGGGGCCCUGCAUAGGGGCAGGCAGAUGAAAAUGGAAAGGCUCAACAGAAUCCUGACAAAAGAAAUCAUACAUGGUGAUGGGCUGGAUUUUCAAACUCUACUUAUUUUGGUAAUGCUCCAUUUUUCAGUCCAAUCCAGCCGAAAUGGAGAACUAUAGACUGCAAAGAUGCCGGUGUCUGAGGUUAAGGUUGCUAAACAAGGGCUAUGGAAAAACUCUUCUGUCACUUGUUUGGACCUCAUCAAGCCUAAUCUGUUUGUGGUGACUUCCAUGCUGAGAACUGGCUUUGCUCAAUCAUGGGUACAAAGGAGGGAGAGAAAAUUAAAAGAAACUAAGAAAGGUAAACCAAAGACAUUGGAAUUGGGCAAAACAUGCAAAUAAGCCCAAGAACAAUGACAUAUGCAUUACAUUGUGGCUGAGAACUUGAAGAAUGUCAGAAAAUGCCAGGCACUGUGUCCCCAACCUUAACCACCACUGUGGUUCCUAAUCUGCAUAGCACUGUCUCUAUGAUGUCAUUGCUUUGCAUUUUAGGACCCAUGUCUGGAUCACUGCGAAGGACAUCCUGUGCUGUGGCGAUGUAAUCUGAACAAUGUGGUGACCGGAGGAACUAGCCCUAUGCGUCUCCGAGCCCCAGUAUUGCCUCAGCUUCUUCUCUUUCUGACUUUCCAAAAGCAGGUUUUUGGGAGGUGAGUGUGAAGAAGAAGUUGCUGUACCCCCUGUGAUCUGACUGGUGUCUUUGAUGGACGAAUUUCUCUGCUACAGUCCUGAUUUGGUAAGUGCUUAACCCAUGCCUAGUGUUAAACAUGUAAGCAGGGCUACUGACUUAAAAGUGAAUUUAUCUUAUGGGAUGUGAGUAAGACUAUUCAUUUGCCUAAAGUUUACCACAUGCCUAAGUGCUUUCCUGGAAAGACAGUAAAUACUCUUAGAUUAUUUUUAAGCAAAAAAAAAAAAAAGGCUUUUAUUUUGAGAUAGUAAUAAAUACUAAAUUCUUGGAAGAUUAAAGGAUUGGGGAGACUUUAUGUGUCACUGUUGUGCAUGCACAGCUCCCUUUGAAGUCAAGGGAACCUGCGUGUGCAAAAGGGCAGAGAUAUAGGGCAGCAGAAUAUUGUGGCUUAGGAGCCAAAAACAUCAGGGGAUAUCUAGAAUGAGUAUAUGAACUUCUAAAGGCUUGAGUGCUUUGAAGCACUCUCUAUUUUUUUUUUUCCCCUAGAAUGUAACAGUUAAAAUCCACUUGCAGGGAAAUUUGUCUUUCAGGGAGCUUCCCCAAGAGUAAAACAGAUGAGCAGGAAUUGUUUAGAAAAGUGCAGGAGAACCUUGGGCAUAUACGAAAGGGACAAGAGACAGUCUAGAGACAGGAGAUGAUGUUGCUGGAAACAGGAGGGUGAGCUCUUGAACAUGGAAUGAUAUAUCCAGGAAGCAGAAUGAUUGUAUGCCAAGCAAAGGUGGACAAACCAUCCAGGAGAAAAGCAUGUCACAAUUUGCCUCUGGGAAAUACCUUUGGGAAAUCUGUUGAAUCACAAAAGCUGUGAUUAUUUUGCACCUUGGAUUAUUUGUGUGUGCUCAAGCAAGAAAACUAUAUAGCUAUUUACUAGCUUGCCAAAAGAAAACAAUUAGCCAACAUUCUUAGUGAUGCUCUUAAAGGAGAACAUUAUUUUUAUUUUGCAAAGCUUUGCUCUUAUUUAUUGACUUUAUUUUGGAAACCUGCAAAUGUUGGAUUUCUCCUUAGACUAGGGGAAGACUUA